GGUGAUGUCGUCAGUUCAAACCAACAAAGUAGGACACUAAGAGCUACGACAGAGAAGCUGGAGGGAGCACAGACGCCUCACCUGGCUCCGUAGGCGUGGAAGCAGUAGAUGUGGAAGCAAAAAUAUUUGACACCCGAGUGAGCUGCUUUGCAUUUCCCAAUCACACCGAUGGCCCCUGGACCUCGGCUCUCCAUUGGCUUCUGAAAUACUGAACGCAUGAAUCACAAAGACCCUGAGGAGAGAGGAGUGGAAGCCGGCAGGUGAAAGAGGUGGAAAAAAACAGGAAAACCACUUGGAUUCUCUAAUGGGUGUGAUGAGUAUCUGGCUCAAAAGGAGCGGCUGGGGUCUGCUGGCUGACUUCCAUGCCUGAAACAGCUCAUGAGAAGUCGAAGAGGCGCAGCAGCAGUGUGUGACAACCCUGACGCUUUCAGCAAUUGAGACUAAUUUACCUAUUACCCACCUUGUCUGUUUGUGGACGUCCCUCCUGACUGGAAUUUGGACGGAUUGAUCCGUUUCCAUCACUUAAAUUCCACCAACCGGUCUGCCGAUACAGAGCUGACGUCAGGGAGUAAACAAGAUCCAUCAUGGAAAGGUCAUUAGUGUCUGCUUGCAACCUCACAGGAAUUCAAAAAC
ensembl:lncRNA